UUGAUUCACUCAUAGGGUCUUUGCAUCGGAAAUAAACACAUUUAUUCUAAAACCAGUUGUUGGCAUGAUACGGGUUAUGUUUUUCUCAUAUAUUUUAUGAUGGUAUGAUACUAAACCCCUAACGGGAGGGAUUGUACUUGAUUUUCAUAUGAUGAAGACAUAAUCUUUCAAUCAGUUUAAUUGAGGUCUGGAGCUGGCAUGUCAGUAACUGCUAGUAGUCCUUUGUUCAUUUAUGUAUCAUUGUCAUUUUGCUUAUUUCUUUUGUUACCUAUUCUGACAUCGGACUCGGACUUCUUUUAAACUGAGUUUUACUGUGCAUAUUGCUAUGUGUUUCUUUUUUCUACAUUGACUAGAGGUAUAGGGGGAGGGUUGAGAUCUCACAAAACAUGUUUAACCCCGUCGCAUUUUUGUGCCUGUCCCAAGUCAGGAGCCUCUGGCCUUUGUUAGUCUUGUAUGUUUUUUAAUUUUAGUUCAUUUAUAUGUUUUGGAGUUUAGUGUGACAUCCAUUUUCACUGAACUA